rnacentral:rRNA from 1 species
UACAGAGGUCCCAAGCGUUGUUCGGAUUCACUGGGCGUAAAGGGUGCGUAGGUGGUUAGGUAAGUCCGAUGUGAAAUCUCCAGGCUCAACCUGGAAAUGGCAUUGGAUACUAUCUAGCUUGAGGAGUGGAGGGGGGACUGGAAUUCUCGGUGUAGCAGUGAAAUGCGUAGAUAUCGAGAGGAACACCAGUGGCGAAGGCGAGUCCCUGGACACUUCCUGACACUGAGGCACGAAAGCGUAGGGGAGCAAACAGG